CAUAUUACCUCGUGGGGUUUCC
rnacentral:miRNA from 1 species